GUCUACAGUCAUACCACCAGGAACAUGUCUGAUCUCGUCUGAUCUCGGAAGCUAAGAAGGGUCGGGUCUAGUUAGUACUUGAAUGGCAGGAAGGAAGAAAAAUAUGUUUAGGGUAAAAC
ensembl:rRNA 5S_rRNA 5S ribosomal RNA